GCGGCUUUGGUCUAGUGGUUAUGACCCAGGCCUCCCACGCCUGAGACCCGGGUUCGAAUCCCGGAAGCCGCACCA
rnacentral:tRNA from 1 species